AUGAACGCUAGCUACAGGCUUAACACAUGCAAGUCGAGGGGCAGCAUGGUCUUAGCUUGCUAAGGCCGAUGGCGACCGGCGCACGGGUGAGUAACACGUAUCCAACCUGCCGUCUACUCUUGGACAGCCUUCUGAAAGGAAGAUUAAUACAAGAUGGCAUCAUGAGUCCGCAUGUUCACAUGAUUAAAGGUAUUCCGGUAGACGAUGGGGAUGCGUUCCAUUAGAUAGUAGGCGGGGUAACGGCCCACCUAGUCUUCGAUGGAUAGGGGUUCUGAGAGGAAGGUCCCCCACAUUGGAACUGAGACACGGUCCAAACUCCUACGGGAGGCAGCAGUGAGGAAUAUUGGUCAAUGGGCGAGAGUCUGAACCAGCCAAGUAGCGUGAAGGAUGACUGCCCUAUGGGUUGUAAACUUCUUUUAUAAAGGAAUAAAGUCGGGUAUGCAUACCCGUUUGCAUGUACUUUAUGAAUAAGGAUCGGCUAACUCCGUGCCAGCAGCCGCGGUAAUACGGAGGAUCCGAGCGUUAUCCGGAUUUAUUGGGUUUAAAGGGAGCGUAGAUGGAUGUUUAAGUCAGUUGUGAAAGUUUGCGGCUCAACCGUAAAAUUGCAGUUGAUACUGGAUAUCUUGAGUGCAGUUGAGGCAGGCGGAAUUCGUGGUGUAGCGGUGAAAUGCUUAGAUAUCACGAAGAACUCCGAUUGCGAAGGCAGCCUGCUAAGCUGCAACUGACAUUGAGGCUCGAAAGUGUGGGUAUCAAACAGGAUUAGAUACCCUGGUAGUCCACACGGUAAACGAUGAAUACUCGCUGUUUGCGAUAUACGGCAAGCGGCCAAGCGAAAGCGUUAAGUAUUCCACCUGGGGAGUACGCCGGCAACGGUGAAACUCAAAGGAAUUGACGGGGGCCCGCACAAGCGGAGGAACAUGUGGUUUAAUUCGAUGAUACGCGAGGAACCUUACCCGGGCUUAAAUUGCAGAUGAAUUACGGUGAAAGCCGUAAGCCGCAAGGCAUCUGUGAAGGUGCUGCAUGGUUGUCGUCAGCUCGUGCCGUGAGGUGUCGGCUUAAGUGCCAUAACGAGCGCAACCCUUGUUGUCAGUUACUAACAGGUUCUGCUGAGGACUCUGACAAGACUGCCAUCGUAAGAUGUGAGGAAGGUGGGGAUGACGUCAAAUCAGCACGGCCCUUACGUCCGGGGCUACACACGUGUUACAAUGGGGGGUACAGAGGGCCGCUACCACGCGAGUGGAUGCCAAUCCCAAAAACCUCUCUCAGUUCGGACUGGAGUCUGCAACCCGACUCCACGAAGCUGGAUUCGCUAGUAAUCGCGCAUCAGCCACGGCGCGGUGAAUACGUUCCCGGGCCUUGUACACACCGCCCGUCAAGCCAUGGGAGCCGGGGGUACCUGAAGUGCGUAACCGCGAGGAGCGCCCUAGGGUAAAACUGGUGACUGGGGCU
rnacentral:rRNA from 1 species